UCGAGAGAAGGGCCAGGGAACUCUUUCCCUCUCAUAAACCCUAAGUCACUAAAAUUCCAUCAAUUAAAGGCGAAAUUAGCAAGGAAUCGGAUGCAUGAGCAAGGAAUUUUGAUGUACUAAGUGUUCUUAACCUCAAGUAAGUGAAAUUUCAUGAUUUGGAUAUGCGUCGUAUUAGCAAGGGAUCAAGCAUGGAAAGCUAACGGGUCAAGAGGAGACAAGGAAGGGAAUACGAAAACGGACGCUCAAGGUAAGUGAUUCCGUAAUCACUUCUUAGUUGUUUAUGUAAUGU
rnacentral:lncRNA from 1 species